rnacentral:rRNA from 1 species
UACGUAGGUGGCUAGCGUUGUCCGGAUUUACUGGGCGUAAAGAGCGCGCAGGCGGUCGUUCAAGUCGAGUGUGAAAGCCCCCGGCUCAACUGGGGAGGGUCACUCGAUACUGAUCGACUCGAAGGCAGGAGAGGGAAGCGGAAUUCCCGGUGUAGUGGUGAAAUGCGUAGAUAUCGGGAGGAACACCAGUGGCGAAGGCGGCUUUCUGGCCUGUUCUUGACGCUGAGGCGCGAAAGCUAGGGUAGCAAACGGGG